AGCUGAGUUUGAUCCUGGCUCAGAUUGAACGCUGGCGGUAUGCCUUACACAUGCAAGUCGAACGGUAGAGGGGCAACCCUUGAGAGUGGCGAACGGGUGAGUAAUACAUCGGAACGUGCCCAGUCGUGGGGGAUAACGUAGCGAAAGCUACGCUAAUACCGCAUACGACCUGAGGGUGAAAGCGGGGGACUCGCAAGAGCCUCGCGCGAUUGGAGCGGCCGAUGGCAGAUUAGGUAGUUGGUGGGUAAAGGACCGACCCAAGCCGUGCGAUCUGUAGCUGGUCUGAGAGGACGACCAGCCACACUGGGACGUGAGACACGGCCCGACGACGUCCUACGGGGAGGGCAG
rnacentral:rRNA from 1 species